GCCCGCGUAGCUCAAUUGGUAGAGCAACGGUUUUGUAAACCGUAGGUUAUGGGUUCGAGUCCCUUCGCGGGCUCCA
rnacentral:tRNA from 1 species